GCUGGGCAUGGUGGUUCAUGUCUGUAAUCCCAGAGACUUUGGAGUCUGAGGCUGGAGGAUUGCAAGUUCAAGUCCAGCCUCAGCAAUUUAGUGAGGCCCUAAGCAACUUAGUGAGACCCUGUCUCAA
rnacentral:sRNA from 1 species